GAUCAUGGCUCAGGAUGAACGCUAGCGGCAGGCUUAACACAUGCAAGUCGAGGGGCAGCAUAAUGGAUAGCAAUAUCUAUGGUGGCGACCGGCGCACGGGUGCGUAACGCGUAUGCAACCUACCUUUAACAGGGGGAUAACACUGAGAAAUUGGUACUAAUACCCCAUAACAUCAUUAAAGGACAUCUUUUAUUGGUUGAAAAUUACCGAUGGUUAGAGAUGGGCGAUGCGUUGUAUUAG
rnacentral:rRNA from 1 species